CAUGCAGGCGGUUACAUAAGUCAGGUGUGAAAUCCCCGCGCUUAACGUGGGCAUUGCAUUUGAAACUAUGUAGCUAGAGUUCUGUAGAGGGGGGUAGAAUUCCAGGUGUAGCGGUGAAAUGCGUAGAUAUUAGGAGGAACACCAGUGGCGAAGGCGACUUUCUGGACUGUAACUGACGCUGAGGCGCGAAAGCGUGGGGAGCAAACAGGAUUAGAUACCCGCGUA
rnacentral:rRNA from 1 species